rnacentral:rRNA from 1 species
AUGAAAAUACUAGGCUGGAACUGCUGUGGUAUGCUCUCCAACACGGCAGUUCGUGAGCUUCUAGAUCUACAGAAGCGUACAAGGGCAAAUUUAAUUUUCCUUUCUGAAUCCCAUUUGAAUAAUUGUAAAGCCGAUGAGCUUCGUCACGUAUUAGGUUUUGACUCUAUGUUUGUAGUGGAAAGUGAUGGUAAGGCUGGUGGCCUCGCUUUGUUUUAUCAUGAGUCCAAUAAAAUUGAGUUGAACUAUGUCUCGCCCCAUUUUAUUGAUAUUGUUUUUAUGUAUGAGAAUGUGGUUCGGUGGCGGUUCACGGGCUUCUAUGGUCACCCGAAAUGA